rnacentral:rRNA from 1 species
AUUGAACGCUGGCGGCCGGCCUAACACAUGCAAGUCGAACGGUUGGCGGACGGGUGAGGAAUACAUGGGAAUCUACUCUGUCGUGGGGGAUAACGUAGGGAAACUUACGCUAAUACCGCAUACGAUUUAAUGAGCCUAUGUCGGAUUGGCUUGUAGGUGAGGUAAAGGCGCACCUAGGCGACGAUCCGUAACUGGUCUGAGAGGAUGAGAAGUCACACUGGAACUGAGACACGGCCCAGACUCCUACGGGAGGAAGCAGUGGGGAAUAUUGGACAAUGGGCGAAAGCCUGACCCAGACAUGCCGCGUGUGUGAAGAAGGUCUUCGGAUUGGAAAGCACUUUAAGUUGGGAGGCGUUACCAACAGAAUAAGCACCGGCUAACUUCGUGCCAGCAGCCGCGGUAAUAC